rnacentral:lncRNA from 1 species
UCCCUAGCUUGCUGCCAAUACAAUGGAAAAAAAAAAAAAGAAAGAAAAAAAAAGGGGGGGGGGGGGAAAGCCAACCUACUGCUCAGUGCUCAAAUGGCCUUGAGUUUGUAUGAGGAAAUGAAAUGAAAUGAAAUGAAAUGGCCAUCUUCCAGCUCUGCUGUGGGAACUGAAGAAACUGUUUCUUUGCUUAGUGCUUGUCAGACUCAUCUCUAAAAUAGGUAUUUUUCCCCAAAAAAAGUUAUUUACAUCAAGAUGCCUGGUCCAAGUUGACUUUCUGUAACGAGUUCUUUUCAAUUUAAAAGUUUAAGUUGGGUGGAGGGGGGUGCAAACAGGAGAGAAAAUGAGAGGAUCCUUCAGAUGUUAGUGAGAGGUUCUGCUCCGCAAACACCUCCCUGUGUGUUUAGACGGACAACUUUUAUGUGCAGACAGUGAGACUGCCCAUGCUGCAGACACUGAGGGGGCUCGCAAGUCGCAGGCUGCCGGCAGAAAGGCAUGCCUGCAGACCCAGUUACACAGCACACCUUCUCCAUACGGCAAGCAGAUGAGCUGACUGGUAAUUUCCUUUUUCCCUUUUCAGUGUCAUGAAACUCAGAGGCGAUCAGAGAGGCAAAGGUAAAUAACAGAUAAAUCCCAGACACUUCUUCUUCCAAGAAACCUCACAGAUCUAGGCUAAAUUUUCUGAGAUGCUCUCUCUGGCUUUGAGAAGCGGUGCAGAUUGCCUCACAAUUCUGUACUGUUCCCUUGUCUUUUCUUUCCAGGACACCAGGACACAUGGGUGCUACUGAGCAGUGACUGAAACCCAAGACCUGCCGCAGCAUGACACUGGUCCCGGCCGUAGACCGUGAAAUGGGAUGGCCGAGUAUUUGCACGAGGAAGCACUGCCCGGAGCCCAGGACACAAAUCUGCACGGCAGUAAGUUAUCUCAGAGCUGCAGUUCAUAAGUGGAGGAUCUUGUUCCAUGACAUAAUAAAAGCCAGGGUCUGGUGA